rnacentral:rRNA from 1 species
CGAUUGACACGACUCUCGGCAAUGGAUAUCUCGGCUCUCGCUUCGAUGAAGAGCGCAGCGAAAUGCGAUAUGUGGUGCGAAUUGCAGAAUCCCGCGAACCAUCGAGUCUUUGAACGCAAGUUGCGCCCGAGGCCAACAGGCUAACGGCACGUCUGCCUCGGCGUCAAG